rnacentral:lncRNA from 1 species
GGCCGGGAGGAAUACAGCUCCCUAGCGCUGUGAUUUCAGCAUUAGAAUGCAGGCGUUACUUUAUUUCAGCGCUGGGUGCAGGGGGGACCAUUCCUCCGAACACUUGCCAGCACCGUUUCAGAAUUCUCGUCCCGCUUAUUUACAUGUACAAAUCUGUACACAUUAUAGCUUGGGCAUGUGUAUACAAUUUGGGGAACAGUCUCAAGAAGGUCUCUGGUGGUUAUUUGGGGAAUGGUCCCUACCUUACUUUAUCCUUUUGGGGCCACAAAUUCACCUGAGGACAUGACUUAUGAAUUGGCUCACAGUCUGAUGCCUUGGUUGAGCAACUUCUUUCUUCGUUUUUGCAGGAGCCGCUUAUUCCACUUAAGGAGAAAUUCUAUUGCUUCAGGGUUCCUUUCUGGGUAGCAGAGUGGUUUUAUUUGCAUCCCUUGACUUUAGACCCUGUAUUGCCCCAGCAUGCAUCCACAUGAAGGCAGGUCUUUGACAUGCCAGAAUGUGUAUAAAAGGAAACAGCAAGAGAAUGGUAACUACAGAUCAGUCUUCUAAGUAGCACAAUGCAAGACAGAAGCCCAUAUCAGCUGUGAUUAGUGAAGUUACUGAGAUCCAUUUUGAAAAACCAAAGCCACAGCAACUACUGCAUGUCUAGAACAGCUCCAGAUUGACCUCGUUCAUCCAUCUCAUUAACUACUUUCUCUGUGCUAGUACCCUGUAAAGAUACGAAUUUAAGAAAGAUUGCUUUCAAGAAAGUCAGUAAAGGUGUCCAUCCAGACAUCACUUCUGCAUCUUAAGCCAGCCCACCUACAAACUGCAGAGCCAGAAAGAAUUAUUUCAGGGCUAAGCAGUACCGUUCUGGACCAAUUUGGAUUUUCCCAGCAGCACAGUGCAUUCCAAGACACUGCUGUACUCUGCAGCCGUCUCAGCACGGCAGUCCAACCAGCAACAGCAGCAGAAAAACAAACAUAGCAAGAAAAGACCCUGUCCUUCAGGUAAGGGGGAGAUGCAUCUUCUGACCAUCCCUGCCUUAAGUUACAGACUGAAGAAGACGGAGGAGAAAUUACCCUGACAGACCAGUGUGUACCUUUCCCCGACGGAGCAGCUUCCUACAGCCGAGAAGCGCUGCCCCGCUGCUGGUCUCGCCGGUAGCGAGUUGUCCCUCGCCGCGCGGUCGCGCUCCCAGCGGCUGCCGGCCCCUCCGCUCGAGUGCCUGCUGGAUCAUUGCCAGGAGCACCGACGUUCGCACCCCAGGAAAGCCUCUCGCAUAGCCACAAGCUCCAAGCGCUGACCCCGACCUGGCCAGGGCUGCCGCUGCCGAGCCCCAAGCCACCGCACCGUAAGAGACGCGACCCCAGCGCCCCCGGCCCUGCUUCGAGGCCACCGCCGGCACUUGAGGAAAGCGAAGGAACACGGCGGGAGCCUCUCGCAUCGCACCGGGGCUGCGCGCAGUGCUGACAUCCCGUGACCCACAGCACCUCUUCCUGCCGAGCCGUCAGCAAGAAGUGCCCGGGGCGCUUAGGGACCAGCUGCUUCCCGGCGGAGAGGGAUGCGGAGAGGGAUGCGGAGAGGGAUGCGAAGAGGGAUGCGGAGCCCACCCUGGGCGGAGACGCGCGGGAGGAAAAGGAGUCUUCGGUACCUACCCGAGUAUCACAGUCACGUCCGCACACCCCCGUCUCCAGCUGCAGGAGAUUUUGGGCGGAGCUGGCGAACUGAAGUCCCGCCGACAGCUCCUCUCUGGAGCUGCUGGAGCCUGAGGCUGCGGGGACAGCACGGCCUUGAUCCCGCGCCUCCCUCUCGCCCCCCCCGUCUGUGUCGCUGCGCCCAGGGGACAGCGGGACACGCGAGGCGAGGAGGCGGUGACACCGUGAGAUCCUUCCUCCCUCCGUCCGUGUCUCCCUGCUGAGUGACCAUGGCCUUUGGGACAGCCCAAGGGCCCAAGGUUGAGACCGCAACCUGAGGAUCUUUACUGGAUGACUACCUCACCUCAGUAGAAGUGUGACACUGACCACCUAGUCCUCGGCAGCUUCUCAUGCGCAUAAAACGAAAAUAGUGUCCCACAGAAGAGGCCAACUUCAGACAAUGGCCAUUGCUGGUUUUACUGCCUCAGCUUGAACUUGCAGCCAUGUUCCCAAGUUUAGGCACCACCACUAAACCACUAAACAGCUAUAUGCCUGUGGCUCCAGUACAUCGUUUUUAGCUGCAAGAGUGAGUAUAAGGUAGCAAGCUUACUUCCUGAACCAAAUAUAUGUGGUUUUGAGGAAGGAAGGGGGGAAUGGGCACAUGUGGUGAAGAGUUCGGAGAUAAUUUCUGUAUUGCAGCCCUUUAUCAAACAUACACUGGGCAAAUAUGUUUUCUGAAGGCCUAAAUUAGUUUUAAUUAUCAUACCAAAUAAGAGGACAAUGUGUCUGAAAAAACCCACCUGUAUUCCUAAAAGUUUGAACAACAGCUAGUAAGAACUUGGAAUACUGAAGACAGGAAAUUUUGAUCCUCCCUUUUAGCCUUUAAUGCACAUGUUGAAUUAUUAGGUGAAUCAGCAAAAAAACUCAAACAAACAAAAAACAACAACAAAAAAACCCAACAAACAAAAAACCCAAACAAACAAAAAAACCAAAACUAUAACCCAAGUGAUGAUCAAUUUAUAUUCUCCCUUUGUAAUUUCUGAUGAUUUUUCUAUCCAGAUUUCCAUCAGUCUCUUUAAAUUGUGGUGUUAUUCAAGAAUGUGAGGAAAUAACUAUAAGGGUUAUUGCUCAAACAAGUCACUACCAUAUCCAUCAUAUGGUGAACUCCAUCAAAAUUUCACUGUAAACACUCUGCAAGAUGUUGCUCAUCUGAACUGUUACCUUGUUGUGAAUGCUUUCUUGUGUGUGCACCAUUUUGGUUUCAAAACUGAUCUGUGAAAUUUAAUUCAGUUUUUAAUUCAGUUUUGUCUUUCACUGGCCAUCAACAAAGUCAGCAGUAUCUGUAGUAUCAAGUUAAUGCUACCAAUGAGCUCUUCACUAAUGCAAUAAUUGCUAGAUUUUCAGUAUCUCUUGCUAAAUCAAGUAUUUUAUACUUAAAACCAAAUUUUAGUCUAAAGGGGCAACAAUAUGUUCUAUUAAAUAUUAUUGUUGAGCUGCUGCUUUGACAUUGAGGCUAGAACAGAUCAACCAGCAUUUUUUCCACAGGCAUACCCUGUGCUGUAACACAGAAUUGGGUUUGAAUUUCACAGUCUUUCCCAGCUGGACUGUUAUCUCUGCAGAGCCCCAUUGCUUUUAAAGUCAAGAGCAACAGCAGGUACAAUCCUGCUAAGUGGGUUUAAAGGUAUCAAAUCUGGUGGUAUUAAAUGAGAUCAAUUCAUUACCCAUCAGGCAUCACAACAGGAUUUGUCUAUAAUGGAUUACCUGUUUGACCACUUUUAUAUUUUUAACAAAAAGAAAAACCCACCCACACUUUAAGGAAAUUUAAAUCAAUUAAAUUCUCUUUAAUAGGAAAAAGACAAAAAAGCUUGAUUGGGGUGCAUUAUGCAACAUAGAUAUUGUUAAUUAUUCUGGCAAGUUUCUCUGCAGAAACAUCCAAAAACAAGGAUUUUUUUGUCUACUUGUUGGUGUAGUAAAGCAUGGAUUUGAAUUUGUCAUAAUAAGUGGAUGGAGGUAAAAUAUACAGGUAGAAGAAUUAUGCUUCCCAAAGACACACAAAAUAGUCCAAGAAGUUCACAGCAAGGGAAUGUGGUCAUUUAUGUGGUGAUGAUUAGGCUGUCCCAUUUUCUUGCAAUUUUAAUUAUUGCAACUUUUGAUUUUGGCUGUUUGACUUCCUUGGGUGAAACUGGAAGAAGAAGGGAAGUCUAAAUUUUUCUUGGGCAUUGGAAACCACUGAAGACCAGGGAAAUAUAUUGAUUAAGUGAUAGCUACUGUUCAGAGUAACAGUCACCUUGUCACUCACAUGGACACGUAAAUUCAAUGCCUGAGUUGCAACAACACAAUCUGUGAUCCUAACUUCAACAUGUUGCUAUUGCAGCUUUUUCAGCUCUUUCUGACUCACUCUGCCAGGACACCAUUUAUUGUGGGGAAAGGUAACAUUCAGCUGCAGAGCAUUGAGACAGCAGUUUUUAAAUAUCUCUUCCAUCUAGAUCGCUGAAAAUAUGUCUGCUUGACUAACAAGUAUGUUACUAAAUAAGUACUGACCAAUAUCUGCCAUGAACUCUUAUCAUAAAAGCAGCAGCAGAUCUUCUGUACAGGGUGGCUGUAAGUGCCUAUACACAGAAUUACUCUUUACUAGAACAGUUCUGCUUAUAAAACAUUUAGAAUAAAAUGUCAGCAGUAGCAUCUUUCAAUCAAGAAGGGGUUGUUUUGGUCUUUGAACAGGAAAGUUUAAUGUGUUAGGUUAGUUAAUAUAUUGGGGAAGUAAAUGUACAAUGGAAUUUAGAAAAAAUUUUGAAUGAGACCAGCAGAACCAAGUCAGAAUAAAAACUCUCUCUAGCAUACUGUUAACGGUUCCAAAAGUAAAUUGAGGUUUCUUCUUACUUGCCUUGGUCAGAUGCUUUUGUAGAUAGAUAACUGGCUUAUAUUUCAUGUGGUUUUUGGCAUUGACCUUGAUACAGAAUUAAACAACUGAUGCACACUGGAUUGCUGCAGGCUCUAUGUGAUUUUACAUAAUUGAAGUGAAUGCUUUAGGUAAGUCAAAUUAAAUAUACUUUAAAUA